GGAUCAAUUCCACUUCUAAGAGAGACAUGAUCAUAACAAACUACAAAAUAAAAUAAGCUAUAUACAAAGUCACAACCAUGAGCUUAGGUGUCAAAGAAUCUACAUUUUUUUUUAUCAAGCAUUCACAAGAAAGUACUACUAAAAAAUUAGUCCUAAAUAGCAAGUAUCACACCACUCAAAAGGGUCUUUUCUUUUCUCUCAA
rnacentral:lncRNA from 1 species